CUUACACAGGCCAUGCAGAGAUGAGCAGGGCUGCCAUGGAAACCCAAGAACCACAGGGCUGAUGGAAAAGUCAAUGACUACCCAAGGUGGUUACCAACACAUAAACCUGUGGAUAAACUGCAGAAAGUUAUCUGAUGUUGUUCCUUGGAAAGAACCCUCAAAUUUCAAUUUGGUGACAUUUUGAGUUGGCGGUUAAUCAACUUUUAGUUAUUGGAAGAAAAAGCACCAGAAAGGCCCACCUUGCUGAAACACAAGCCCUGUUCCUGCAAUUCAGAAGCAAGCCUUGCAAGGCCACCUAACUCUGCUGUGCUUCUCGUCACAUUUGAAGGGCAAAUUUUUGGUACAGCUUAAACUAAGAUCCUAAAAGUGGAGGUGGGAGUGGGUCGAUGGGAUGGCCAACCGCAAGUUGUAGAGCAACCCCUUUAAAGAGUAACCACUCUUAAGAUGGUCAUCUUGCAACCCAGACUGAAUAUCUCCCAAAGCAGUGGCAAAUAGGCAGCUACUGCUCCUUCUGCCCAACAUUCCCUCUUGGGACCUGUAAUAGGGAUGUGCACUGAACCGGUCUGGAGGCCCUUUAUGGGCCUCUGAACUGGUUCAAAGAACCGGUGGUUCUGCCAGUUUGAUGGCAGUGUGGG